AAAAAGACAAACUUUGGAUUUCCGUGUCCAACAUUUGAUUGUCUGUCUUAUAUAAUUUUUUUUUACAAUUAGUAUUUUCAUUAUUGUUAUAUGAUAAAGCAUGAUUAAUACUUUAUGCGUGACUUGUCUUUUUAAUUUUUUUCAUAAUUUUUCAAAUAAGACGGACGGUCAAAUAUUGGACACGGAAAUCCAGGGUUUGUCUUUUU
rfam:Oryza rufipogon genomic scaffold, chr03